rnacentral:rRNA from 1 species
CCUACGGGUGGCUGCAGUGGGGAAUAUUGCACAAUGGGCGCAAGCCUGAUGCAGCCAUGCCGCGUGUGUGAAGAAGGCCUUCGGGUUGUAAAGCACUUUCAGCGGGGAGGAAGGCGUUAAGGUUAAUAACCUUGGCGAUUGACGUUACCCGCAGAAGAAGCACCGGCUAACUCCGUGCCAGCAGCCGCGGUAAUACGGAGGGUGCAAGCGUUAAUCGGAAUUACUGGGCGUAAAGCGCACGCAGGCGGUCUGUCAAGUCGGAUGUGAAAUCCCCGGGCUCAACCUGGGAACUGCAUUCGAAACUGGCAGGCUAGAGUCUUGUAGAGGGGGGUAGAAUUCCAGGUGUAGCGGUGAAAUGCGUAGAGAUCUGGAGGAAUACCGGUGGCGAAGGCGGCCCCCUGGACAAAGACUGACGCUCAGGUGCGAACGCGUGGGGAGCAAACAGGAUUAGAUACCCUUGUAGUC